rnacentral:rRNA from 1 species
GGCGGCGUGCUUAAUACAUGCAAGUCGAGCGGAGUUGAUGAGGCGCUUGCACCUUUGAUACUUAGCGGCGGACGGGUGAGUAACACGUGGGUAACCUGCCUUUAAGACUGGGAUAACAUUCGGAAACGAAUGNUAAUACCGGAUACGCGAUAUGGUCGCAUGACUGAAUCGGGAAAGAUGGAGCAAUCUAUCACUUAGAGAUGGACCCGCGGCGCAUUAGCUAGUUGGUGAGGUAACGGCUCACCAAGGCGACGAUGCGUAGCCGACCUGAGAGGGUGAUCGGCCACACUGGGACUGAGACACGGCCCAGNAUCGGAUGA